rnacentral:rRNA from 1 species
GACGAACGCUGGCGGCGUGCCUAAUACAUGCAAGUCGAACGGUCUUUUCUAUGGAAGCUUGCUUCCGCUGAGAAGAUAGUGGCGAACGGGUGAGUAACACGUGGGUAACCUGCCCAUAAGAGGGGGAUAACAUCCGGAAACGGGUGCUAAUACCGCAUAGUUUUCUUGAUCGCAUGAUUGAGAAAGGAAAGACGGCCUUUGUGCUGUCGCUUAUGGAUGGACCAGCGGCGUAUUAGUUAGUUGGUGAGGUAACGGCUCACCAAGACGAUGAUAAGUAGAGUACCUGAGAGGGUGAUCGGCCACAUUGGGACUGAGACACGGCCCAAACUCCUACGGGAGGCAGCAGUAGGGAAUCUUCCGCAAUGGACGAAAGUCUGACGGAGCAACGCCGCGUGAGUGAAGAAGGUUUUCGGAUCGUAAAACUCUGUUGUCAGAGAAGAACAAGUCGGAGAGUAACUGCUCCGGCCUUGACGGUAUCUGACCAGAAAGCCACGGCUAACUACGUGCCAGCCGCCGCGGUAAUAC